UGCCACUGAACUGAUGUCUUUUUCUGCCC
rnacentral:piRNA from 1 species